UGGGGAAUUUUGGACAAUGGGCGAAAGCCUGAUCCAGCAAUGCCGCGUGUGUGAAGAAGGCCUUCGGGUUGUAAAGCACUUUUGUCCGGAAAGAAAUCCUUGGCUCUAAUACAGUCGGGGGAUGACGGUACCGGAAGAAUAAGCACCGGCUAACUACGUGCCAGCAGCCGCGGUAAUACGUAGGGUGCAAGCGUUAAUCGGAAUUACUGGGCGUAAAGCGUGCGCAGGCGGUUUGCUAAGACCGAUGUGAAAUCCCCGGGCUCAACCUGGGAACUGCAUUGGUGACUGGCAGGCUAGAGUAUGGCAGAGGGGGGUAGAAUUCCACGUGUAGCAGUGAAAUGCGUAGAGAUGUGGAGGAAUACCGAUGGCGAAGGCAGCCCCCUGGGCCAAUACUGACGCUCAUGCACGAAAGCGUGGGGAGCAAACAUGAUUAGAUACCCUGGUAGUCCACGCCCUAAACGAUGUCAACUAGUUGUUGGGGAUUCAUUUCCGUUAGUAACGUAGCUAAACGCGUGAAGUUGACCGCCNGGGGAGUACGUCGCAAGAUUAAAACUUAAAUGAAUUGC
rnacentral:rRNA from 1 species